UGUGACCACCAUCUCUAUAAUUUGGAACGAUACAGAGAAGAUUAGCAUGGCCCCUGCGCAAGGAUGACACGCAUAAAUCGAGAAAUGGUUCAAAUUUUU